UUAGAGUUUGAUCAUGGCUCAGAUUGAACGCUGGCGGAAUGCUUUAUAUAUGCAAGUCGAGCGGCAGCGCGGGGGCAACCCUGGCGGCGAGCGGCGAACGGGUGAGUAAUACAUCGGAACAUGUCCAGUCGUGGGGGAUAGCCCGGCGAAAGCCGGAUUAAUACCGCAUGAGCUCGAGAGAGGAAAGCGGGGGACCGUAAGGCCUCGCGCGACUGGGUUGGCCGAUGUCCGAUUAGCUUGUUGGUGGGGUAAAGGCCUACCAAGGCGAUGAUCGGUAGCUGGUCUGAGAGGAUGAUCAGCCACACUGGGACUGAGACACGAGCUAGACUCCUACGGGAGGCAGCAGUGGGGAAUUUUGGACAAUGGGGGCAACCCUGAUCCAGCCAUUCCGCGUGAGUGAAGAAGGCCUUCGGGUUGUAAAGCUCUUUUGUCCGGAGCGAAACGGUUGUGGUGAAUAUCCACGACUACUGACGGUACCGGAAGAAUAAGCACCGGCUAACUACGUGCCAGCAGCCGCGGUAAUACGUAGGGUGCGAGCGUUGAUCGGAAUUACUGGGCGUAAAGCGUGCGCAGGCGGGCUUUUAAGCCAGACGUGAAAUCCCCGGGCUUAACCUGGGAAUGGCGUUUGGGACUGGGAGUCUGGAGUGCGGCAGAGGAGACUGGAAUUCCUGGUGUAGCAGUGAAAUGCGUAGAUAUCAGGAGGAACACCGAUGGCGAAGGCAGGUCUCUGGGCUGACACUGACGCUCAUGCACGAAAGCGUGGGGAGCAAACAGGAUUAGAUACCCUGGUAGUCCACGCCCUAAACGAUGUCGACUGGUUGUUGGGGGUUUGACACUCUCAGUAACGAAGCUUAC
rnacentral:rRNA from 1 species